UCAUAUUUAUCGGUUGUCUUGUCGUCGCGUGUGUACAAAAAUCGGUGUUUUAACAAAGUUAACUUAGCUGCUUAAUAUUAAACGCGAUUAGUAUGUGUUAUGAUGUGCGUGUUAUUACAAACUACUCUAAAUCUGUGUUCGUUCUGUUCUUCGCGCUUGAGGGUACAUUUUUGUGUCGUUUAAUUUUUAGUGCUGAGCUUUCUUCUUCACAACAAAUUGGCGAGCGUUUUGCCUCUGCAACCGAAGAGAAUGAGAGGAGAAAGAGAGAGUGAGACCAAGAGAACAACAGAAAACUUUUCUUAAUCCGAUAUUUUCGAAACCUUCAAAAUAUAUCUAUAAAAUUAAGUGAAAUAAUUAAAGUGAGGAUGAAAAUCUUUCUCCUUUCUCCUACUAAAAGAUGGCAAUCAAAUAAUUGUGCGUAUGUGUAUUUUUGGACUCGAUUCAGAUGGGUUUGUAAGAUGGUUUAGAACCGGUUCAUUAAAAUGAUUCAAAAUUGUUAAACUACUGUCUUAUGGCUCAG